UUGGUCGUAUCCCUCUGCCCUGCCUCUCCGCCAGGCCUCUAUUGCCCCCUCCUCCGACGCCUGCAGUGGAAGGUAAGGAGAAGGACGGCGGUAGCCGGAUCUGGUGAGCACGCGACUGCACCCCGCCUGUGGCCAGGCGGCGCCCGGAUUCGCGUCGCUUUGCAACCCCCCGCGAGUAGGUCUAUUCCAGGGACAAUCGGAUGGCUGCGCAUCGCCUGGAGGCUGGUUGUUGGUCAGGAGCUUGAAGUUUUAACUGGAAUGGAGUCAAUCUGUUUAGCUUAG
rnacentral:misc_RNA from 1 species